GACGAACGCUGGCGGCGUGCUUAACACAUGCAAGUCGAACGGGUCUGCCCUGUUUUUUGCGGGGUGGGUCAGUGGCGAACGGGUGAGUAACACGUGAGUAACCUGCCCCUCACUUCUGGAUAACCGCUUGAAAGGGUGGCUAAUACGGGGUGUUCUGGCUGUGCCGCAUGGUGUGGCUGGGAAAGAUUCACUUUUGUGGUGUUUUGGUGGGGGAUGGGCUCGCGGCCUAUCAGCUUGUUGGUGGGGUGAUGGCCUGCCAAGGCUUUGACGGGUAGCCGGCCUGAGAGGGUGGGCGGUCACACUGGGACUGAGAGACGGCCCAGACUCCUGCGGGAGGCAGCAGUGGGGGGUAUUGCACAAUGGGCGGAAGCCUGAUGCAGCGACGUCGCGUGAGGGAUGGAGGCCUUCGGGUUGUGAACCUCUUUCGCCGGUGAAGAAGGUCCUGCUCUUUGUGGUGGGGUUGACGGUAGCCGGGUUAUGAAGCGCCGGCUAACUACGUG
rnacentral:rRNA from 1 species